ACCUCACCGUCUUGUGAGAGUUUCAGAUUCUCAUUAGAUGACGAGGAUACCUAAGCCUUGGAAGAUGAAGAGAACCUGAAGAAAGACUCAAUGACCUUCAUUAAUAAUGUUGUCAAAGUAGCGGCAGUUGAGCCUAUGGUUGAGAACUCCAUUAAGCAAGAGGCAUGUGGUGAGCAAACUUUAUUAGAGUGUAUUGCCCCGAAUGAAAAAGAAGCUUUCGAAGCAAUCGGCCCCAGAGCCUCCAUUAUCCAUUUGCUUCCCAAUGGUGAGUAACCCAAUCCUCUAAUAGAAGAAGAGCCCUCAAGCAUGGUGAUCAAUGAAGCACCAGAAUGUUAUGGAGACAAGAUUGGGAAGCUUAAGGCUAUAUUGAGGCAGUUACAAGCUGAGAUGAGAUCAAAAGAUGAAAUGAUGGAAACUUUACGCCAAGAGGUAUUGGUGUCUCAUAAGCCUAAGCGUACCCCCUUGGGGCAUCAAACCCUCUUUACCGUCGCUCAAGCACUGUAUCCGGUCAUCGAACAACACCAUCAGAAGAAAGAGUACUACCACCCUCACCUCCCUCAUUGCCGCUCUCCUCCCCAUCAGCUCAGGUUGGGAACGAAGAAUUAGUGAAAGG
rnacentral:lncRNA from 1 species